UCGGGAAUUUUGGGCAAUGGGCGCAAGCCUGAUCCAGCCAUGCCGCGUGCAGGAUGACGGUCCUAUGGAUUGUAAACUGCUUUUGUACAGGAAGAAACAGUUCUACGUGUAGAACCUUGACGGUACUGUAAGAAUAAGGAUCGGCUAACUCCGUGCCAGCAGCCGCGGUAAUACGGAGGAUCCAAGCGUUAUCCGGAAUCAUUGGGUUUAAAGGGUCCGUAGGCGGUUAGAUAAGUCAGUGGUGAAAGCCCAUCGCUCAACGGUGGAACGGCCAUUGAUACUGUCUGACUUGAAUUAUUAGGAAGUAACUAGAAUAUGUAGUGUAGCGGUGAAAUGCUUAGAGAUUACAUGGAAUACCAAUUGCGAAGGCAGGUUACUACUAAUGGAUUGACGCUGAUGGACGAAAGCGUGGGUAGCGAACAGGAUUAGAU
rnacentral:rRNA from 1 species